CCUCCACUUGUACCAGGGGCGAUAUGUGUGAGCAAUAGCAUAUAGCAGAAAAGACUGCAUGCUGCUUCUAAGAUUUGUUUUGGGUGCUCUUUUGCUUAUUUUACAGCUCUCUUCUUCUCAUAGGGUUUGCUUUGGGAGAAGGCAGCAGCUCUGUAAAAAGGUCCACCUGAAGGCUCUUGUCAACAGUCAAAUGAGUGAUCUUGGAAGUAUAUAGAUUCUCCAUUCCAACUGGAUGACUGCAGCCCUAGCCAACAACCUCAAUGCAACCCCAUAACCUAAAGGAAUAGAGCCAGCUGACCAUGGACUGAAACCUCUGAAGCCAUGAGCCAAAGAUGAACCUGUCUUCAUGAAGUUAUUUUUCUAAGGGGGUGAUCAAACACUACAGUGAAUGUUCAAAUUUGAAGAAAAACAUUGCAAUAGAAGACACUGUCAACAACAAUCAGAUAAGUGUGUUCAAAGUGAAAAGGAGUGUUUUUUAGUAUUUUGAAAGGGAUUAAUGGCAAUGUGGUUUUCAUGUAAUACAUUGUUUUAUUUAAACAUUAACUUUAUUUUUUUUAUCAUACCUCACUGACUGAAUGUUUAUGGCAAUUUCUGUCAAAUAAAAACAUACAGUGUGUCCUCAUCUACC
ensembl:lncRNA